GUGGCAGGUUCUCAGAACCUUCUCCUGUUCCUCUGGAACCUCCAGCUACAUCUGUACACGCAACCCUGCCUGUCUGGAUGACACAGUGGUUUCUUCUGGUUACCAAGGACAAGUUCUAAGAAUUUAAAUGAAUAAUAAAAACCCACAAAAUGAUAGCAUUUGAAUUGGAUGGGGACCAGGAAUCAUCCAUUCCAGAGAUUUCCCUACCAUGUUCAAUUGAAGUCCUUUUAAAAGUAAUUCUUCAGGACCUUCCAAGAGGAACAAGAUCACUGACCAUGCCAGACUGCUUCUACCAUUUUCAAUCUGUUUUAUACAAUGGGUCCUAUUCUAGUCCACACUCCUCUAUACAAUGGGUCCUAUUCUAGUCCACACUCCUCAAGAAGACCAGAAUUUGGGUCCAAGUGUUUUCCUUGAGAGGCAAACCCAGGAAGCACCACCAGGAGAACAAAGAGGAAUGGGGAAAAGAAGGAAAAGCAAUAAAAGCGUUAUUGAGAGGGUUACCAUUGUAGACAAAUGGGGCACCAUCUGGCUGGGACCUUCUGAAGAAAUUGCAAAACAUGCUUCACAAAUUGUCUCACUGCAGAAAAUCAUGCCAAUAACUCUCUACAAAGGAAACGAUUUCAGAUGAAUACAGGCAUAAGUUGACAUCACAAGGAGACAUUCUGGCUUUGCCACUAACCAAAAAGUGCAAAAGAACCUCCACAGCAAAGCCUGUGUGAUUACGGCUUCAGAAUCCUUUUUGUCAAUAAAGGUUGGAUUAGUUGCAAUAGCAGAUGUUAGAUGGGGGUACCAAGAAGAUUCCCAUCCUCCUAUUCUCCUGGAAACAUAAAAAAUCAUCUUUUGCAAGAGGUG